UCCCUCUCCUUCCCCUCCACCAAACGCCGACUCUUUCUCCUUCUCUUCGCCUCUUUGCGCCACCACUCAAUGCAGCAGAUCGGCGCCAUCGGACCGCCAACCGUCAGUCUCCCUAGUCCUUCCUAUGUCUCCGAGUUCUUAUCCUCUGCUGCCGACUAUCGAGCCAUGCUUACUCCAGCCAAUCUCUGCCCUAGUGCCUGCAUCGCCUUAUCCUCUGCCUAGGCUCACCACCACAGCAGCAUCCCAAGUCCCUCUAAGAGAGAUAUUGGAUAUGGUUCGACAGUAGCAGGUAAAAGAUUUAUAGAGUCGCCUGGAGAUCUUGUCGGCCAGUCAUAUGUCACAUCGAGUAACUUCUAUCAUUAUUGCUUCCACUCGCAUUAUUGGUUUUGUAUUUGUAUUUUUAUUAUGUACCUUCUAUAGGGAUUUUUGGACUUGUGGCGUCAUAUAUUUCGGUUAUGUA